rnacentral:rRNA from 1 species
UACGGGGGGAGCAAGCGUUGUUCGGAUUUACUGGGCGUAAAGGGCGCGUAGGCGGCCACCGCAAGUCAAUUGUGAAAUCUCCGGGCUCAACCCGGAAAGGUCAACUGAUACUGCGGGGCUAGAGUGCAGAAGGGGCAACUGGAAUUCUCGGUGUAGCGGUGAAAUGCGUAGAUAUCGAGAGGAACCCCUGCGGCGAAGGCGGGUUGCUGGGCUGACACUGACGCUGACAGCGCGAAAGCUAGGGGAGCGAACGGG